GACGAACGCUGGCGGCGUGCUUAACACAUGCAAGUCGAACGAAAAGAGGGAAAGAGCUUGCUCUUUCCGGAAUUGAGUGGCAAACGGGUGAGUAACACGUAAACAACCUGCCUUCAGGAUGGGGACAACAGACGGAAACGACUGCUAAUACCGAAUAAGUUCCAAGGGCCGCAUGGCCCAUGGAAGAAAAGGUGGCCUCUACCUGUAAGCUAUCGCCUGAAGAGGGGUUUGCGUCUGAUUAGCUGGUUGGAGGGGUAACGGCCCACCAAGGCGACGAUCAGUAGCCGGUCUGAGAGGAGGAACGGCCACACUGGAACUGAGACACGGUCCAGACUCCUACGGGAGGCAGCAGUGGGGAAUCUUCCGCAAUGGGCGAAAGCCUGACGGAGCAACGCCGCGUGAGUGAUGACGGCCUUCGGGUUGAAAAACUCUGUGAUCCGGGACGAAAAGGCAGAGUGCGAAGAACAAACUGCAUUGACGGUACCGGAAAAGCAAGCCACGGCUAACUACGUG
rnacentral:rRNA from 1 species